CUUAUCAAGAGCGGUGGAGGGAACGGCCCUGUGAAGCCCGGCAACCUGUUGAGUCAAGGUGCCAAAUCCGGCGGUGAGACGCAAGAUGAG
rnacentral:ncRNA from 1 species